rnacentral:rRNA from 1 species
CACGUAGGCGGUUUGGUCAGUCUGCUGUGAAAUCCCUGGGCUUAACCUAGGAAUUGCAGUGGAUACUGCCUGACUAGAGUGUGAGAGAGGGGGGUGGAAUUCCAGGUGUAGCGGUGAAAUGCGUAGAGAUCUGGAGGAACACCAGUGGCGAAGGCGGCCCCCUGGUUCAACACUGACGCUGAGGUGCGAAAGCGUGGGGAGCAAACAG